rnacentral:rRNA from 1 species
UACAGAGGUCCCAAGCGUUGUUCGGAUUUACUGGGCGUAAAGGGUGCGUAGGCGGCAAGGUAAGUCUGGUGUGAAAUCUCGGAGCCUAACUCCGAAACGGCAUCGGAUACUAUCUUGCUCGAGGGUUGGAAGGGGGACUGGAAUUCUCGGUGUAGCAGUGAAAUGCGUAGAUAUCGAGAGGAACACCAGUGGCGAAGGCGAGUCCCUGGACAACUCCUGACGCUGAGGCACGAAAGCCAGGGGAG